AGCAAGGACAAGUGCCAGAGCCCUGCCCCUAGUGGGGGGACCUGAGGCAUUAUGGGGACAUCUCAUAUGACUCAAUGACUGCACAGUGAGCUGUAGCCCUGACAACAAUGUGACAAGUCUGAUUCAUAGCAUGACUUUGUGACUGGAACAUGGGUACUGCAGGUGCUUGUCCAAGCUCAGAGACCACCUGAUGCUGGCAUGAAACAAUUCUGGGAUUUCGCUGGGACUCAGAUCAUGCAGAGGACCUUCAAUUUUAUUGGCAGAAAGCAGUCCUGAUAAGGAAAAUUCUUCUACCAUUGCAGAAGAAUCCUUAUCUUCCGAAGCUCAGACACCUCCUCAAGGUGAUCAUCAAGAAAGCAGGAGGAUGCUCCCACAAUUAACUAAUUAACCAGCGGAGGAGAAGAGAGUAUAGUAUACUCCUUUACCACCUGAUGAAAUAUGGAAAAUAUGUAAUUUACUACUCCACCUUCCACCAGCCACCACGCUCUCCCAAA